GGUCAAGUAACAAAGAGCUUAUGGUGGAUACCUAGGUACCCAAAAGCGAUGAAGGGCGCGAGAAUCAGCGAAAUGCUUCGGGGAGCUGACUAUAAGCUAAUCCGGAGGUUCCCGAAUAAGGCAACUUCUUGUACUAUUUGCUGAAUAUAUAGGCAAAGUUAGAGCGAACUUGGUGAAUUGAAACAUCUUAGUAACCAAAGGAAAAGAAAGCAAAAGCGAUUCUCUUAGUAGCGGCGAGCGAACCGGGAUCAGCCUAAACUACCCUUUAUGGGUAGGGUUGUGGGACGUCUAUAAAUUUAGUUUAAUUAAAUUAGAUGAAGCAAGUGAAUAUUGCACCAUAGAAGAUGAAAGUUCUGUAGUCGAAAAUUUAUUAACUAACAGAUUGUAUCCCAAGUAGCAUGGGACACGUGAAAUCCCGUGUGAAUCUGCGAGGACCACCUCGUAAGGCUAAAUAUUAAUGGGUAACCGAUAGUGAAACAGUACCGUGAGGGAAAGGUGAAAAGAACCUAACUUAAAGCAAUAGCUUUAGGAACGGAGUGAAAUAGAACAUGAAACCAUAAGUUUACAAGCAGUAGGAAAACGACUUAACGUUUGACUGCGUGCCUGUUGAAGAAUGAGCCGGCGACUUAUAGGUAGUAGCAGGUUAAAGUUUUUAAUGACUGGAGCCCGAGCGAAAGCGAGUUUUAAAAGAGCGUUUUGUUACUAUUUAUAGACCCGAACCCAGGUGAUCUAACCAUGGCCAGGGUGAAGCUUAGGUGAAACUAAGUGGAGGCCCGAACUGAUCGAUGUUGAAAAAUCGCCGGAUGAGUUGUGGUUAGGGGUGAAAUGCCAAUCGAACUUGGAGCUAGCUGGUUCUCCCCGAAAUGCGUUGAGGCGCAGCGGUUAAUUUUAAAUUUGGGGGUAAAGCACUGUUUCGGUGCGGGCUGUGAAAACGGUACCAAAUCGAGGCAAACUCUGAAUACUAAAUGUAUAAUUAACCAGUCAGACAGUGGGGGAUAAGCUCCAUUGUCAAGAGGGAAACAGCCCAGACCAUCAGCUAAGGCCCCUAAAUAUUAGCUAAGUGGCAAAGGAGGUGGAAGUGCUUAGACAACCAGGAGGUUUGCCUAGAAGCAGCAACCCUUUAAAGAGUGCGUAAUAGCUCACUGGUCAAGCGCUUCUGCGCCGAAAAUGAACGGGACUAAGCUAUUUGCCGAAGCUAUGGGAUGUUUAUAUAACAUCGGUAGGGGAGCGUUCCGCUGUAGGGUGAAGUAUUAAUGUAAAUGAAUAUGGACGAAGCGGAAGUGAGAAUGUCGGCUUGAGUAGCGAAAACAUUGGUGGAAAUCCAAUGCCCCGAAAACCUAAGGUUUCCUCUGCAAGGCUCGUCCGCAGAGGGUGAGUCAGGUCCUAAGGUGAGGUCGAAAGACGUAGUCGAUGGAUAACGGGUUAAUAGUCCUGUACCAAUUUUGAUUUGUGAAGAGGGACGGAGAAGGCUAAGCCAGCCGGGAAUUGGACUCCGGUUUAAAUAUUUUAGGCGUUGAUAAGUGGGGAAAACACUUUGAGCUGAGAAUUAUGAGUAAAAGGCAUUACUGUUUAUUUUUCUAGAAAUAGAAAAUUGAAUGGCAGUGUUCAAUUGGUCUAUGUCAGGCUUCCAAGAAAAGCUCUAAACACGUUAAAUCAAAAUUGCCUGUACCAAAACCGACACAGGUAGGUAAGUAGAGAAUACUAAGGGGCGCGAGAUAACUCUCUCUAAGGAACUCGGCAAAAUAGCUCCGUAACUUCGGGAGAAGGAGUGCCCUUUUAAGGGCCGCAGUGACCAGGCCCAGGCGACUGUUUACCAAAAACACAGGUCUCCGCUAAUUCGUAAGAUGAUGUAUGGGGGCUGACGCCUGCCCAGUGCCGGAAGGUUAAGGAAGUUGGUCAGCCUUUUGGUGAAGCUAGCAACCGAAGCCCCGGUGAACGGCGGCCGUAACUAUAACGGUCCUAAGGUAGCGAAAUUCCUUGUCAGGUAAGUUCUGACCCGCACGAAAGGCGUAACGAUCUGGGCACUGUCUCAGAGAGAGACUCGGUGAAAUAGACAUGUCUGUGAAGAUGCGGACUACCUGCACCAGGACAGAAAGACCCUAUGAAGCUUUACUGUAGCCUGAUAUUGGGUUUGGGCUUUUCUUGCGCAGUAUAGGUGGGAGGCUAUGAAGCUAUCCUUGUGGGGAUAGCUGAGCUAUCAGUGAGAUACCACUCUGGAAAAGCUAAAAUUCUAACUUUAAGCCGUUAUCCGGAUAAAGAACAGUUUCAGGUGGGCAGUUUGACUGGGGCGGUCGCCUCCUAAAAAGUAACGGAGGUGUACAAAGGUUUCCUCAGGCUGGACAGAAAUCAGCCGGAGAGUGCAAAGGCAUAAGGAAGCUUGACUGUGAGACCUACAAGUCGAACAGAAACGAAAGUUGGUCUUAGUGAUCCGACGGUACCGCGUGGAAGGGCCGUCGCUCAACGGAUAAAAGUUACUCUAGGGAUAACAGGCUGAUCUCCCCCAAGAGUCCACAUCGACGGGGAGGUUUGGCACCUCGAUGUCGGCUCAUCGCAACCUGGGGCGGAAGUACGUCCCAAGGGUUGGGCUGUUCGCCCAUUAAAGCGGUACGUGAGCUGGGUUCAGAACGUCGUGAGACAGUUCGGUCCAUAUCCGGUGUAGGCGUUAGAGCAUUGAGAGGAGCUCUCCCUAGUACGAGAGGAUCGGGAGGGACACACCUAUGGUGUAUCAGUUAUUGUGCCAACAGUAUAUGCUGGGUAGCCAAGUGUGGGGAGGAUAACCGCUGAAAGCAUCUAAGUGGGAAGCCCACCUCAAGAUGAGUGCUCUCAUCGUAAUUUUACGAGUAAGAUCACGGCAAGACAAGCCGUUAAUAGGUAUCAAGUGUAAACGUAGUAAUGCGUGUAGCUGAGAUAUACUAAUAGAUCGAGGACUUGAUCU
rnacentral:rRNA from 1 species